rnacentral:rRNA from 1 species
AUUGAACGCUGGCGGCAGGCCUAACACAUGCAAGUCGAACGAGUGGCGGACGGGUGAGUAAUGUCUGGGAAACUGCCUGAUGGAGGGGGAUAACUACUGGAAACGGUAGCUAAUACCGCAUACCAUCAGAUGUGCCCAGAUGGGAUUAGCUUGUUGGUGGGGUAACGUCUCACCAAGGCGACGAUCCCUAGCUGGUCUGAGAGGAUGACCAGCGACACGGGAAGUGAGACACGGUCAAGACGCCUAAGGGAGGGAGCAGUGGGGAAUAUUGCGCAAUGGGGGGGAGCCUGAUGCAGCGGUGGGGCGUGUAAGGAGAAGGCCUCGGGGGUGUAAAGUACUUGCAGCGGGGAGGCGGUAGAUGCAGAAGAAGCACCGGCUAACUCCGUGCCAGCAGCCGCGGUAAUUC